rnacentral:lncRNA from 13 species
AUGCUGAAGGAUACAGGAGCUUGGUCUGGCCUUCAGCUGUGGAGAGACCACACCGUAUUCCAAAUGGGAAGUUGUGGCUUACGUGACAAGAGGCCUGCAGAUGCAUUACAAGCUUCGCUGAUGUCAUUAAGUCAAGGAUCUUGAGAUAGGAAGAUUAUCCUGGAUUAUCCAGGUGGAUACAGUGUAAUCUCAAAGAUCCAUAGAGAAGGGAGGCAAGAGGGUCAGAGUCAGAAAAAACAACUGGACAAUCAAAGCAGAGACUGGAGUGAUAUGAAGGAGGGGCCAUACUCACGGGAUGCAGGUGGCCUCUGGAAGCUGGGAAAAGGUAAGAAAACAGAUUCUUCCCUAGAGCCUACAGAGAAAACAGAGCUGUAUUGAACCAUUAUGGACUUCUGACUUCCAGAACCAUAAGAUACUAAAUUUGUAUUGUUUAAAUCCA